GGAAGGCCUCUUGCUCAAAUGAGUAUUCCACAAUCUUCUUAGAGGAAGACAUAAUUUUCCACUUAAACGUCGUUUCAAUAGUUUACCUUCAUUUCUUUCAGUAGUCAGUCUCUCUAACAGUUGGAAUGGAUACUCAUUUAGGCAAGAUGCUUUGC
ncrna:Manihot esculenta miR828b stem-loop (mes-MIR828b)